UAGGGAAUCUUCCGCAAUGGACGCAAGUCUGACGGAGCAACGCCGCGUGAGUGAAGAAGGAUUUCGGUUCGUAAAACUCUGUUGUUAGAGAAGAACAGCGCAUAGAGUAACUGUUAUGCGUGUGACGGUAUCUAACCAGAAAGCCACGGCUAACUACGUGCCAGCAGCCGCGGUAAUACGUAGGUGGCAAGCGUUGUCCGGAUUUAUUGGGCGUAAAGCGAGCGCAGGCGGUCAAUUAAGUCUGAUGUGAAAGCCCCCGGCUCAACCGGGGAGGGUCAUUGGAAACUGGUUGACUUGAGUGCAGGAGAGGAGAGUGGAAUUCCAUGGGUAGCGGUGAAAUGCGUAGAUAUAUGGGGGAAAACCAGUGGCGAAGGCGACUCUCUGGUCUGUAACUGACGCUGAGGCUCGAAAGCGUGGGUAGCAAACAGG
rnacentral:rRNA from 1 species